GAGUUUGAUCCUGGCUCAGGAUGAACGCCGGCGGUGUGCCUAAUACAUGCAAGUCGUACGCACUGGCCCAACUGAUUGAUGGUGCUUGCACCUGAUCGACGAUGGAUCACCAGUGAGUGGCGGACGGGUGAGUAACACGUAGGUAACCUGCCCUGUACAGGGGAUAACAAUCAGAAAUGACUGCUAAUACCGCAUAAGACCACAGCACCGCAUGGUGCAGGGGUAAAAACUCCGGUGGUACAGGAUGGACCCGCGUCUGAUUAGCUGGUUGGUGAGGUAACGGCUCACCAAGGCGACGAUCAGUAGCCGGCUUGAGAGAGUGAACGGCCACAUUGGGACUGAGACACGGCCCAAACUCCUACGGGAGGCAGCAGUGGGGAAUAUUGCACAAUGGGGAAACCCUGAUGCAGCAACGCCGCGUGAGUGAAGAGUAUUCGGUAUGUAAAGCUCUAUCAGCAGGGAAGAAAGUGACGGUACCUGACUAAGAAGCCCGGCUAA
rnacentral:rRNA from 1 species